rnacentral:rRNA from 1 species
GACGAACGCUGGCGGCGUGCUUAACACAUGCAAGUCGAACGGAAAGGCCCUGCUUUUGUGGGGUGCUCGAGUGGCGAACGGGUGAGUAACACGUGAGUAACCUGCCCUUGACUUUGGGAUAACUUCAGGAAACUGGGGCUAAUACCGGAUAGGAGCUCCUGCUGCAUGGUGGGGGUUGGAAAGUUUCGGCGGUUGGGGAUGGACUCGCGGCUUAUCAGCUUGUUGGUGGGGUAGUGGCUUACCAAGGCUUUGACGGGUAGCCGGCCUGAGAGGGUGACCGGCCACAUUGGGACUGAGAUACGGCCCAGACUCCUACGGGAGGCAGCAGUGGGGAAUAAUGCACAAUGGGCGGAAGCCUGAUGCAGCAACGCCGCGUGCGGGAUGACGGCCUUCGGGUUGUAAACCGCUUUCGCCUGUGACGAAGCGUGAGUGACGGUAAUGGGUAAAGAAACACCGGCUAACUACGU